rnacentral:lncRNA from 1 species
CAUAUACAUUUUGAUUUUAAAUUAAGAAAAAAUGUGUAUGUCACAAUAUAUAUUUAUAUAUUGUAUAUGAGAACCCUAAAACCAGAAGAAAUACAAAAAAUUCACUGUUAAUAACUCAUUCAUGAAUUGUCUCCCUUUAAAAAUCAAAUUGCCCCCUUGUGUGCAUGCGCCCCAUGUUGGGAACCACUGCUCUACACCAACAUUAAUAGCAAAAGAAAUCAGUGCAAAAGUGACAGUUUUGCAGGAAAUUCAAUAUAUCACUGACAGUUGGCACAAGUUCAACUGCAAGAUAAUUCAGAACUGUUUUGCCUACUAUGGCUUUAAGCAUCCAGACCUAGAGAAUGCUAAC